rnacentral:rRNA from 1 species
GCGCCUUGCCAGCCCGCUCAGUCAGAGUUUGAUCCUGGCUCAGAUUGAACGCUGGCGGCAAGCCUAACACAUGCAAGUCGAGCGGCAGCGAAAGAAAGCUUGCUUUCUUGUCGGCGAGCGGCAUACGGGUGAGUAAUAUCUGGGAAUCUACCCAAAAGAGGGGGACAACUACUAAGAAAUGGUAGCUAAUACCGCAUAAGUUAGAAAAACCAAAGGUGGGGGAACCUUAAAAGGCCUCAUGCUUUGGAUGAGCCCAGAAGAGAUUAGCUUGUUGGUAAGGUAAAAAGCUUACCAAGGCCACGAUCUCUAGCUGGUCUGAGAGGAUAACCAGCCACACUGGAACUGAGACACGGUCCAG